AAAUCAUGGUGGGGACACUUAAGAAUCAAGUCCUUAAAUCUCUCCCAACUCUCAUAAAAACUUUCAUUAUCUUCUUGAUAAAAAUCAGCAAUCUCUCUCCUCAAAGC